rnacentral:tRNA from 1 species
GCGCGUAUAGCUCAGGUGGUUAGAGCGCGUCACUGAUAAUGACGAGGUCCCACGUUCGAGUCGUGGUACGCGCA